UUAUACAGGUGUGCAGCCACAGAUUACUGACACUUCUGACUUCUUCUGGCAGCUACAUGGAUCCUACCACGACGACCCAGAGUAAUGAUGUGAUAGCCAUGGUGAGCAUGGUGGGCACAGUGCUCUGUGUUGUGGCUGCAACCCUCUGGGUGUUCAGCUACUGGAGGAAAGGGAAGCCAGAAGCAGCAGAAGUGAAGACAGGUCUAAAAGAGACUGGGACAAAAGAGAGCAAACCAUCCGCCAAAGCAUCCCCAAAAUCGUCCCGUCAAACACCGCUGAAGGAUGCCGAAGCAAAGGAGGAGGAAGAUGAGGAAGACGCGGCCGAAUAAAUUCCACAAGUUUAAAAGCAACAUCGACUGUUUAUGUUUACACCUGCGGCGCACGGCGUGCUUAGGAUUCUGUUUGUUUGUUAUUUCAGCCUCCAACCAUUGUAUCAAGGACAACAUUCAGUAUGCAAAUGCAGUGUUA
rnacentral:lncRNA from 1 species